rnacentral:rRNA from 1 species
AUGCAAGUCGAACGCGAAGUCACUUCGGUGGCGAGUAGAGUGGCGGACGGGUGAGUAACGCGUAGGAAUCUGCCUAGUAGUGGGGGACAACUCGGAGAAACUCGAGCUAAUACCGCAUACGCCCUACGGGGGAAAGUGGGGGAUCUUCGGACCUCACGCUAUUGGAUGAGCCUGCGUCGGAUUAGCUAGUUGGUAGGGUAAAGGCCUACCAAGGCGACGAUCCGUAGCUGGUCUGAGAGGACGGCCAGCCACACUGGGACUGAGACACGGCCCAGACUCCUACGGGAGGCAGCAGUGGGGAAUAUUGGACAAUGGGCGCAAGCCUGAUCCAGCAAUGCCGCGUGUGUGAAGAAGGCCUGCGGGUUGUAAAGCACUUUCAAUUGGGAAGAAAAGCUUGAGGUUAAUAGCCUCGGGUCUUGACGUUACCUUUAGAAGAAGCACCGGCUAACUCCGUGCCAGCAGCCGCGGUAAUACG